AAAAUCAUUGACUUCGAUAUUUCUUUUCUGCUCUCUCUCUCCGUAGUUAACGUUUACGAAGUUGAAGCAGCAGCCGAAGAAGAAGACGACGACUCUUCUCUUUCCAGAUAUUGUUAUUAUCUCAACUCUUCUCUUGUAAUCAAUCUCUUUCUCGAGUUUCUGCUCUUGAAAAUUUCUGCUCAGAAGUAGGAGCUUUGCAUUCAUCAACGCUCUCUUUCACUGAAGAACAUAUGGCAGAAAAUGUUAAAGAGCAUGGAGAUGGAAGUGCAGAGCUGGUUAAAUCCAUGGGUGAUAAUAAAUAUGCUAGUCUCAUGAGACCAGCUGGUAGAUAUUACUCUGCUAUAAAAGAUGUUAUGGUUUGUGGGAAAGGAAGAUAUACGCUUGUAAAAGACGUGGACGAUGUGGAAAAUGGAGUUUAUGACAAACCUCUUCCAUGCUUUGGUUGUAAUCGGAUGGUUCUCGUGAGUAGAGUUCUCAUUUUUGUUUCCGAGUUAAGAGCAACACCAACGCUGUCAACCCACAUAGGUUUCUUAAAUAAAAUAAUAAAAUAUUAUUUUUUUAAUAGAACUUAAUUACUUAAUUAAAUUUAUUUUGUUUUUAAAAUCAAAUCAAUAAAAAAUUGGCAUUUGGAUAGCGAGGUUAGAGCACUUCCAAUGGGAGUUUUUAAUAUAUAUGUUAUGUAUAUAUAUAUAUAUAUAUAUAUAUUAUAUAUAUAUAAGUAAUUGUGGAAUCCACAAUUUUUGUAGAACCUCUAGGUAAGGUUUCUUAAAAGAGGGUUUUAAAAAUCUUUAAAAACCUUAUUUAUGGGGUUUCACAAUAAUUGUAGACUCCACAAUUAUUUACGCAUAUAUAAUAUAUACAUAUAUAUAUAUAUACAUAAUACAAAUAUUAAGAACCCAAACCAAGAGAACCCCUAUUUCGAGAUGGUGAAAUUCUAAACCUCUCACUUUUAAGAAGUUUUUCUUGUUCUCCCCCUUUAAUAUAUUUCUUUAUUUUGCAUAAUUAGAUACUCUAAGUCCAUAGAGCUACUCUAUACUUACCUGCUAAAUCUUAUUUUGGGAACUAUUCCCAUUCCUGUGGUACUAUUCGACGUUUCUCUAUUUUGGGAACUACUACCGCAAGGAUCCUAGAGAAAGAGCAGGACUUGCUGCUUCCGCAAUCACUGCGAUGGGAUUCUCCCUCUUGCUACUGGCGAUUGUUGCCUUCAGGUGGUUUUAGUGGCUUAUUCUUACGUAUACACCAUUAUCUUGACAUAUAUAUGUAUGAUCUUGGUCCUGUUCUUGUCAAAAGGAUUAUAGAGGAUGGACUUAGAUGUUUGUCUGUACAUUCAAUUUAAAUACUUUAUACCUCAUCUUUGCUCCA